rnacentral:rRNA from 1 species
AUGUUUUCUAUGCCUCUUUUUUUUGCGAGAAAACUUCUCAUUUAUUCAUCAACCGUGUGGGUAGUACAAAGAACACUAGAAGUAAAAUUUACAUCCAGGUCGGUAGACCACCUAGUGAUGACUAAAAGCACUGGAGCAUGCCGAAGGCGCACCCCAUCAGCGCCCUUCCCGCGUCGGAGCCGAGCAGACAUUGUUGUAGUAGACAGUCAGAAAUUCAUCGUGCUAAGGCCACAUAGGGCCAGCGCACCAGAACAGCAACCGCUGCCGAUGAAGAGAAGCAUAGAUCGGAUGGACCCAACCCGCAGACACAGAGACGUAGACGAACAAAGACCAGAUCCAGGUGGAUCCACCGAAGACAAACACCGACUAGAUUCCAGGAAAUCCGCCGAAGACACACCUCCACAUGCCCUCCGACGAUGUAGGUGGGGAGAACCUUAUUCCAUCUUCAAGAAGCCGCUGCCGCCUCGUCUUCUUGAGCAUGGCACAAAACCUAAGAAAACUCCGAGAAACACCUAA